UUGGCGUUCGUAUAUAUACAUAUAUAUAUAUAUAUAUCACAUUGAAUUGAAUUUAAUCAAAAAACCACCGUUAGGCAGCGAUGAGCCACAUUUCGAGAUCAGUAUCUAAGGCUUGUCAGCUUGUCGAAGAAUUUCAAAGCAAUUAAAAAUUGGAUACGUUACAUACGUCUAUUUAAGCGCAAAUCCUCAACAACAUUCAGAACACAGCUACAAAUGUUCACUCAUCGAUUAUGGCCAGGCAGACAGGCAGCAACUCCAAAACCUGAAGUGUCGUCUAGCCAGCUGGGCAGGCUGGCAGCUGCUGGGCUUAGACACCCACUGUGGACCAAGUGCUGUUAAUACUUUAAUGGCACAUUAUUGAGGCGGGCCUCUAAGUACAUCACUUUGGAUGUAACCCGAAAAAGAAGAGAAGUAGAUUAAAAGAAAGGCAGCUGGUACUUCCGAGGAACACCCACGGUCCACAUUUAAAAAUAAAAUGCAACUUGUGCAUGUUGAAUGACUCGAGUUAAGCACUCGCUGAUUAUCGCCACAAGGAAAAUUCAA